rnacentral:rRNA from 1 species
CCUUGCCAGCCCGCUCAGAAACUUAAGGAAUUGACCGGGGCCCGCACAAGCGGAGGAGCAUGUGGUUAAUUCGAUGCAACGCGAAGAACCUUACCUGGUCUUGACAUCCCGGAGACCCUUAGGAAACUAGGGGGUGCUUCCAUCUGGAAGAAUCUGGAGACAGGUGCUGCAUGGCUGUCGUCAGCUCGUGUCGUGAGAUGUUGGGUUAAGUCCCGCAACGAGCGCAACCCUUGCCUUUAGUUGCCAGCAGUUCGGCUGGGCACUCUAAAGGGACUGCCGGUGUUAAACCGGAGGAAGGUGGGGAUGACGUCAAGUCCUCAUGGCCUUUAUGACCAGGGCUACACACGUACUACAAUGGCCGAUACAAAGGGCAGCGACACUGCGAGGUGAAGCCAAUCCCGUAAAAUCGGUCUCAGUCCGGAUUGGAGUCUGCAACUCGACUCCAUGAAGUUGGAAUCGCUAGUAAUCGUGGAUCAGCAUGCCACGGUGAAUACGUUCCCGGGCCUU